UUCCCCAUUUUUCCUCUCCACUCGCAGCGGACCGGAAAAUCUCUCCGGCGGCGCCGGCGCCGCCGCCGCCGGCGAAGCGCCAUCCUCUCCGGUCUCUCCUCCUCUUCUCUUCCUCCGUGCCUUCACCUGUCUCGCCGGGGCGCCGCAUCCCCGCCUCCGAAGCACCAUCCCAUUCGCACCCGCCUCCAUAGGGAAUCAAUCUCUCCGCCGCCGCCGCCGCCGCCAUGCUCCGCCUCCGUGGCUGCAUCCUCGUGCGGCUCCUCUCUUCCCCCGCCACCUCCCAGGGCCCCCCUCUCCACCGCCCCCUCUCCGCGGCCGCCCCGCGCCCGCCGUUUCCCCAAACCCUAGCUUCGCCGCCGACGACUACCUCGUCUCCACCUGCGGCCUCACCCGAGCCCAGGCGCUCAAGGCCUCCGCCAAGCUCUCCCACCUCAAGUCCCCGUCCAAGCCCGACGCCGUCCUCGCCUUCCUCGCCGGCCUCGGCCUCUCCGGCGCCGACGUCGCCUCCGUCGUCGCCAAGGACCCGCUGUUCCUCUGCGCCAGCGUGGAGAAAACCCUGGGGCCCAUCGCAAUUGAGCUCGCCGGCCUCGGCCUGUCGCAUUCCGAGAUCGCGCGCCUCGUCCUGCUCUCCUUCGUCCACUUCCGUUCCAGGUCCAUUGUUUCCAAGCUGCAGUACUACCUGCCCCUGUUCGGCUCCUCGGAGAACCUCUUCCGGGUGCUGAAGCUCGGCUACCUCCCCGGUGCUGACAUUGAGGGGACGGUCAAACCCAACGUCGCGCUCCUACGGCAGUGCGGGCUAGAUGAUUGCGAUAUCACCAAGCUGUCCCUCAGUAAGCGCGGAGUCCUGAGCAGCAAGCCAGAGCGCAUCGGGGCGAUGGUGGCAUGCGCCGAAGGCCUUGGCGUGCCUCGUGGCUCGGGGAUGUUCAGGCACGCGUUGGAUGCUGUCGGAUUCCUCGGUGAGGAGAAGAUCGCCGCCAAAGUGGCCUACUUGAAGAAGACGUUCAGGUGGUCAGACGCUGAGGUGAGCAUUGCUCUGCGUAAGGCUCCGUCUGUGCUGAGGAAGUCAAAGGAAUUACUGCAGCGCAGGUCUGAUUUCCUCAUCUCUGAGGUGGGGUUGGAACCGUCCUACAUUGCUGAACGGUCAGUAAUUAUCAAUUACAAGCUGGAGGGCCGGAUGAAACCCCGGUACUACGUUGUAAAGUUCCUCAUGGAAAAUGGAUUGCUCAAGUGCAACCCAGGCUACUACCAGACCGCUUUCAAGGUGAGAGAGAAGGUAUUCAUGGAGAAGUUCAUUUGCCCUCACAAGGAAGUUGCGCCGCACCUCUCUGAAGACUAUGCAACAGCUUGUGAAGGGGUAGUGCCGGCUAGAUUCAGAUUUACAUGAACCAAGGACUGGGUUCUCACCAUGCCUGCGAAGCUGGUCUGAUGGCUGCGAAGGAAGAUGCAUUCUGGGCUCUAGUGUGUGCGUGUGUACAUUACAUUCAAGAGUCAUAUCAGGUACUCUAAUUUGGAUCGAUCGCUAUGGACAAUGGUCGUGCCAGCUUUAGUUUGGUGCGCAGAGAGUAAUAAUCUUCUGCAACUUAUUACCCACAACCUGAUACUACUGGUCUUUCUUCUA